ensembl:lncRNA
CGAGGGCAGCUUACCCCGCCACAGGCCUCCCUGCGCCUCUUCACCGUGGCAGGCUCAGCCUAGCCCCCAAACCCAGCCCUGCUGGCUGCCUAUGCCCAGAACCCCUCCCCCAGAUCUACAGGCCACCAAGCUGGUCAUUCGGGCCCCAGUCAGCGCUCACCUUUCAGGGAGCCUUCCCCGACCCCCAGGAGAGCUUCCCCACCUGCCCCCUCCACUCACGGGACCUCACGCCUCCUGCUUCAUUUUCUUGCGGAACUUUUCGUUCUCUGAAACUGUCUUUUUAUGCACAUUAUUCUUUUACUUGUGUUUGCUGUUUGCCUGUCUCCCUCCCACAAGAAUGUAAGUUCCAGCAGGACAGGCCCCUGCCCGCCUUUUCAGCAUCGUGUUGCUGUUGCCUGUAGUAACGCCUGGGCUGGGAGCAACGGGCCUGAAUCACACGGGCCACAGGAGACGGAAAGCAUGGGGGUGCCUUGAGGUCCUCGCAUUGGGGGUAAACUAAUUUUAACUAAAUCUCCAAGGGGUCUUCAAGGAACAUCUGGUUCAUAUGAAGAAACAGAGGUUUUGAGAGGUUAAUUGACAUCUCUAACAUGGCAUAGGCAGCAUCCGAACCCAGAGCACUGUGUUCCUCUGCUUCUCCAUGUGAUUCUGGCGCACUGUGAGUGUUGAAGACCACUGAAAUCAUAGGGCAAGAUGCUUUACACAGUGACUACGAAUAAUGAAGCUCCCUCUGUCUUCCCAACUCUGGGUCAGACACUCCAUGGGAGAAGGGGAGUCCCGUUGCAGAUGAAGAAACUGGGCCUCGGAGGUUUAAGGAAAUUGCUCGGUGUCUAGUCCCUCUUCUGUCAGAAGAUUCAGACCAGGCAUCCAGGUGACCUGGCCCUGCGGGACCGAGCAGGACGGUGGGACCGCCUGUUACUUGCAGCCGCGACAUCGGGCAGGGAGAGUUUGCGCGUCAAGGAGGAGAAGCAGGAGCGAACUGGCCUUUGAUGCUCACGAAAGAACGUAGACAUAUUCGUGUUCAUGGCAUCCAGGAGGCCACGUCUAAACAGUACAAACUCUUUGUGUGACAUGAUGAAUCCCCUUGAGGGACCCAGAAGGGACAGGAGACAUGUGGGAUCAAAGCAAGCAAGCAGCUGAGCUGUGAUCUGAACUCAGUGUGCGUGGCUCCAAAGCUCAGCAUUGCUCUCCACCAUAUUGUGUGCUGCCUGCCCAGACACCGUGUGCGCUGCAAGGAGACAUCGGCAAGGGCUCUCGUCCUCCAGGAGCUUUCAGCUCAGCUGUAUGACAGCGCUGGAACAUAAGAGCAUCCGUGGAGCUGCCUCAUUGUUAUAAGUCAUAAAGUGGGGUCCCCAGACAGGCAGCAUCAACGCCACCUUGGAACUUGUUAGACAUGCAAAUAAGUUAGAAACUCUGGAAACGGCAUCUUAACCAGCUCUCUGGAUCGUUCUGAUGCACACUAAGUUCAAGAACCAGAGUUCCAGACUUUCUGAAUAAGUCUGGGGCCCCACCUGAUCAAGACUGCUGGUGCUCGCAUGUCCAUGUACCAGAGGAACCUGUGGACAGAGAACCACAUUGUCAGACUCUCGUGGCCAUGUCUUUCCACUGUACCUACUGGGAAGAAAAAUAAAAAGCA